ACUUUUCUCUACAUUUCUAGAUUUCUUUGAGACUUAUCUUCUGCGCCGUCUGCCUUCCCUUCAGCCUUCUUCUUGUAUUUUCACUCACGCCCUGCCCCUGCCUUCUUCUUCUUCAAUCUUCACGCCCAGGACGUCGUGCCUUCUUCUUCUUCUUUAAUCUUCACGCCGUCGUCGCCUGCCUUCUUCUUCUUCACACCAUCUGACGCGUCAUCACAGUCCAAUCCACUGCACACCCACGACUCCACCAGCACACAUGUCUUCUUCUUCGGCCUUACACGUUUUUAGAUCUGGUGAUUUCUGAAGCAAACGGAGCAAAAGAAGGAGGCGGUUAGUUUCGGUGCAUACCGAGUACAUGGAGGUGUUGAAAUGGAAAACCUUGAAUGUCACACGCACAUUGAUCGGCGACCCACGAAGAGGGCGCAUAUGGGCUGGGACGUUCUUCCUCAGAUCCCAAAGAUGCUGCAGCAGUUCCAUGUGGUUUUGGGCUUGCAAUUGUUUGUGUGCUCUUUGUGUUCUUGAUGGGGAUUCGCAUGGGGCCAUGGGGAACAAGUAUAGGUUGAGGUAAUAUUCUAUUGUCAUGAACUUGAUUUCGUAGCACUUUGUGGUCUGGUAUUCCUUUACGUAAAAGGAUCAGAGGUUAUAUUUUUCUUACCGACGGUUCCUUCAAUCCAAUUUUCUUUGGUUCUUCAUCAGUGCAACAUGAAUAUUCCUCAAGCUAUCCUGGGUAUGGAUGUCAUUUGACAAGAGAAGUCUAGAAUGGGUAAAACUGCUGUUUUUGUUCUUUUAACAUUGCAACAAAUUAAACCUGUUGCUGGACAAGUUUCUGCAAUUGUGCUGUGUCAUACAAGGGAGUUAGCUUACCAGAUUUGCUAUGAGUUCGAGAGGCUCAUAGUUUUAUGCAUAGUUUUAUCAGAUCCAAAUCUGAUGAUAUCAAUUUUAUCAGAUCCAAAUCAGUAAUUGUAAAAAAUCUGGAACAAGUUGAUAUUUUAUUUGGCCUUUUGUACAUUAUAAAUCUGGGAAUCAUCUUAUUCAUCUACACGAAGACUGAUGUGAGGAAUGGUGGGGAGGAAGUCAUUCAGGAGGAAUGGGGAGGAAGUCAUUCAGCUGGGCCGGUCUAGGAAAAGGAAGAAAUCUAAUAGAAAGAAUAAUUGGGCUAAACGUAGAUCAUAGUCCAACUGAGCAGCAGCCAAGCUAAGGGUGGCAAGGGGGAAGUGCAACCCUUUAGAGUUGAGAUUACAUUGUUUUAAAUUGUAAUUUGUGUUGUAUUUUAGUUAUUUAUGUAAAUUUUAUCUUUUAGUUUAGUUACAAUUAUGCUUAUUUCAUUUUUUGUAUUUUUUUUUUCUUGUAAUUCAAGAUUUAUUUUUUGAAAGUUUCUUGUAAUAUUGUGAAUUUUUUGUGCCUGAAAUAAGUUAUUUAGUAUUUUUAGAAUAAA